CUACGGGUUGCUCCAGUGGGGGAUAUUGCACAAUGGGGGAAACCCUGAUGCAGCAACGCCGCGUGAAGGAAGACGGAUUUCGGUCUGUAAACUUCUAUCAGCUGGGAAGAAAAUGACGGUACCAGACUAAGAAGCCCCGGCUAACUACGUGCCAGCAGCCGCGGUAAUACGUAGGGGGCAAGCGUUAUCCGGAUUUACUGGGUGUAAAGGGUACGUAGGCGGUUAUUUAAGUCAGAUGUGAAAGCCCGGAGCUCAACUCCGGGACUGCAUUUGAAACUGGGUAACUAGAGUACAGGAGAGGAAAGCGGAAUUCCUAGUGUAGCGGUGAAAUGCGUAGAUAUUAGGAAGAACACCAGUGGCGAAGGCGGCUUUCUGGACUGUAACUGACGCUGAGGUACGAAAGCGUGGGGAGCGAACAGGAUUAGAUACCCCAGUAGUC
rnacentral:rRNA from 1 species